GCUUUCUUGAAAAAUUCACUAAAAGAUGGAUACCAGACAACACAGAAAUGAAUCAAAAUAAAGAACUCACAAAUAAAGAAACUGUUCUCUUUUCACACAAAUGUCGGUGUUACACUAAACCAACUCUGUUCAGAACAUCUGAAGGAGGAAGGAGGCAGAGGAAAGCCUUGAGUCUGGCUUUAAGGAGGGAGGCAGGGAGCCUGCACUAAGGAACACAGGAAGCAGCCUCCAGAAGCCAGGGGCAGCUUUCUGCCGACAGACAGCAAGGAAGCAGGGACCUCUGUCCUCAGUCUGGGGGAGGUCUGGGGAAGAGCCUUCCAAGCAUCGAGAACAGGAACUGUGAGGGUCUUGCACUGGGAGCCAGUGAGGCGCAUCUGAGGAACAGCAAAGGAGGCCGGUCUGGCUGACACAGAGCGAGAACUGAGCAGAUCUGUAGGAGAGGAUGCCGGAACAGAAUUUCCUAUAGAGAUUCAGCUACCCAUCACAUCAUUAGAGCUUCUGAAAUCCAUAACAAGCAACAAGUUAUUAGAUACAAGUAAUGGACACAAGAAUGGAGAAGCAAGAAUCCAGUG